UUGAAUUGUGGUGGUUGAUUUUGUAUGUGGUUGAAUUUGGUGUCUUCCUUGUUGGUGGGUGAAAUUCAAGAUGUACGGGGUGAAGAAAUAGAAAAGCAAUAGUGAAAAUAAUGGUUGAAAGGGUUAUUUGAAUGAGGGGGAGAUAAGUAUGUUCAUAUUAAAAUACGGAUGUUACCCGGUAAAUAUCGGACGUGAUUUAGCACCAUUUAAGACAAAAACGAACCAGGUGACUAUUGAGUACUGGCUAACUGGCUAGCGUGAGUGAGGUUAAAAGAAUAAAACCCCUCAUUUCAAAGAAGGGGUUUUUCUUCUAUGCUCUUUGUUUUCAAUUGCUGAAUGAGUAGUAGUUUACGAUCAAAUCCUCGAAUUCAUUGUUCUUAAUUAAUUGCAAUUUGUCAAUAAAAAAAACCCAAUUCAAUUUGCAAGUUAGGUUACGAUGACAACCCUUCCUGUUGAUGUUAUUACUGAUAUUCUGCUUAGAUUGCCGGCCAAAUCUCUGUUACGCUUUAAGUGUGUUUGCAAAUUAUGGUAUGAUAUAAUUGAGGGCACUGACUUUAUCAAGCGGCAUGUUGAGCAAUCCAAUUUGCAUAUGAUUUUCACAAACCCUGUUGUUUAUAUGAGCGAUUUCGACAAAUUUGACAAACCCACUAAUCUGGAUUACCCUUUCAAGAAUUUAGAAGAUGGGGGUGUUUAUGUUGAAGGAUCGAGUCGUGGUUUGCUUUGUAUAUCUAUAAAUUGUUAUCCCUACACCACUUACUUGUACAAUCCUACAACACAAUCCUACAAGACCCUUCCCUUUUUGCCAUUGAUGUCCACCUUCUAUUAUCCCAAGGGAAAUAAGUAUCUUGGGUUUGGUUAUGAUCACGUUUCCGAGGAUUACAAGUGUGUUAAGAUUUUCUUGCGCGAAUUGGAUGGUGAAGUAGGCUCUUUCAAGAGUCAAGUUAUGAUUUAUAGCUUGAGAGAGGAUUCGUGGAAGCGAGGGGCUCAUGAUGUUCCAUACUACUUUUAUGGGCAUUUUGGUUAUUCUGUUGAGCUCAAUGGAAUUUUGCAUUGGUCUAUUGAAGGUAAUCAUAGAGAGCCCCUCCCCAUAGUUACCUUCAAUCUUUGUGAUGAGACUUUUUGUUCUGUGCCAUUGCCUAACUAUCAUACUGAGAUCUAUAUGCGCGCCCACAUAGGAGUGAUUGAUGUGUGUUUGUGUCUGAUUCUCAAUUACUAUUGUUACUGUGAAGUAUGGGUCAUGAAAGAGUAUGGUGUGGCUUCAUCUUGGACUAAGUUGUGUAGGGUUGGGAAACGAUAUCAUUACGAAGAUUUGAGGCCUAUUUCUUUUUCAGAGAGUAAGAAGGAAUUGCUUGUGAUAUCUACCUUGGUUAAUGUUGCUUCUUUGGACUUAGAAACAUUGGAGAUUACGAAUAUUCAGCCCCCUGGAUUUAAUAGAUUUUGGAGUGCACAUGUAUGUUUGGAGAACCUUCUUGUGUUCAGGGAUGUUGAAGAUGCUCCUACCGGCACAGAGCUACCACGAAGCAGAAGCAUCAGAAUGCGAAAGUUAUUAAUGAAGAAAACUGAGAGGCUUUUAAGAAUCCAUGCUACUAGGCUACAAGCCAGUCUUGAGCUGCUCCGCUCAUCCAAUGAUGAAUCUUGAUCGUGGCAGCAUUACAACUCCAUACAGUGGAAUUUGAAAGUAUUCUUUCCAUGAAGUAUCAAAAAUUGGCAACAUUAUCAGUACGACAAUUAGAGGGCUGAGCAAAACUAUCUGAAGAUCCGAAAAUCCGAUAAUCCGAUCCGCAUUAGAUCCGAAAAUUAUGGAUACCCGAUCCGAGUUUGAUUUCGGAUAUCGGAAAUCCAAAAUUUAAAUUUUGGAUUUCGGAUAUCGGGUAUCCGAUCCGAUAUCCGAAAUGCUACCCAAAAAUCGCUACAUCCAGCAAAACCCAAAUACCCCCAGAAGGCACAAGCCCAAAUACCCCCCAAAGGCCCAAAACAAGAAACCCUAAACUAUUCCUUUAACCCACCUCACCGCCCUUUUCUCUCUCCUCUCCUUCUCUGAUCUUUCAUUCUCCAUUUCUCCUCUCCUCUAUUCUCGUUCAAGGUUCAAGUGUUCAACAGCCUUCCCCCUCCUCCCGACGGUGGUCAACUCCUACCCCUACUGCGCCGCCCUUUCCCACCAGCAACAACAACCACCUUAACCGCUAUGAACGACCCCUUCCAACCACUAAACCAGCAACCGUACUCCUCAUUGCGCUCCUAAAUCGACGGCGUCUCCUCUCGGAUCUCAGUCCCAAAUCGACGGUGGCUUCUCCAUUUUAAUGGUCGUAGCGGCGGCUACCCUCUCCUCCUCACAGCUUCUUCCACUUUUCGCUCCUCUCACGAUUUCAUUUUUUUGUUCUUUAUUUUUGUCUGUUGAUUUCAAUUAGUGUAUUUUAAGUAUAAAAAUAGGCUGAUUAUUUUUUCCGUUGUAUUGUUUAUUUUAAUUAGUUGAUUCUAAGUUAUUUCUCCUCAUUUUCUAGUUGUCUUUA